UUGUGAUUUUGUGAUACAAAAUCCAGCAUAUCUAUCUUGUUUGCUGUGUCAUACAAUAUAAUAAUAGAGAAGUGUUUGACUUGUGAUUUUGUGAUAUGAAAUCCAGCAUAUCUAUCUUGUUUGCUGUGUCGUACAAUGUUGUUGUGUCAAUAAUAAUAAUAAUAAUAAUAAUAAUAAUAAUAAUAUAUAUAAACCUUCCUUGCUUAGUUUCUCCAUACCUCACAACCUUAGAGGAUGCCUGCCAUAGAUGUGGGCGAAACAUCAGGAAAUAAUUCUUCUGGAACAUGGUCAUACAGCCCGGAAAACAUACAACAACCUUAUCUAAGUUAGUUUUCUUUAAAAAAAAUGAAAAUAAACACAUAAGAAGUAUAGGUAAUUAGGAAUUAAUGAAGACUUUCUUGGCAUUUUCUGUUGUUACAGGGUAGUUGGGAGAAUAUUCAAAAACAAUUGACAAUCAGCAGAUCAGCAAGUUGGCUUGAUAUGAAACUAACAGUCAUGGGGGAAUUAACUAAUGAACCUACUGAACCAAAGAAAAUUAUCUUGCAAAUCCCAAAGGAGUUGAAAGGUGGCAGGGAAGGAAACAGCAAGUGCAAUAAUUAGCCUCUGGUUCAAUGUCUUGAAGGAAAACAUAGAAGCUUAUUGCUUGAAACUUACAUUUGGGAUAUUCAAACACAAAUAUGAUACAUACUGGUGUUCAUUGACAAUAGCACACAUUGACCUCUAUGGGUUUUUGAGUGGAUUAAAUAAGAGUUAUUUUACUAUCAUAUAUACAUAUUGUGACAAUAUCAUAUUUGCACACACAAUGCAAUUUAAAUAAAAAUUUGAAAGGAAAAAAGUAAAAUAAUUAUAUAGCAAGAGUAAGGAAAUCUGUUCACUCACAUUUUUCAAAAGCAUGCAUUUUUGAAAUUCCAGUUUGGCAUCCAUCUAGAACUUUCCUAUAGUACAUAUUGAUGGCUAACCCUGAAAUAAUGAGUCUAGACAUAAAAUUGGAUUAAAUAAGGUCUACUAUUUAAGAUUUAAACUUGGAAAACAUUCGAGGAAAGGGGAGUGAUCUGGUUGGGGUCUUAGGUGAGGCAAAUAUCCAACUGUGACAAACCUCCCCCAUCUCCCUUUCAGUCAGAAUACUUGUCCCAAUAACAAUCCACUCUGAUGGGUUGCUUAUUUGGGUUCCUUUCUCCCUGAAAGCUUCAGAACUAAAAAAAAAAAAAAGGACUGCAAAAACCCAUGUUUGUCCAAAUGACAGGUUCUUUCCCGGCUCCCAGGGCCCAGAACCCAAAGAGGCUGCUCCAGAGCCCCACCCUUUAACCAAAUACUAGCCAAGAUGUACACUAACUUUUGGUAUUCUUCCCAAAACCAUUCACUGAAAGGGACUAGGCCAUCCAA
rnacentral:lncRNA from 1 species